GGAUGGAUGAGACCAGAUCACCAGCAGUUGGGCAAAUGGAAGGGGGCUAGAAACUCAAGAUCAUUUGGAGUCCAGGAUUGGAGGUCCAACCUACAACUUCAAGUCAAAUGGAAGAAAGUAACACUCCUGGAAGUUCUGUUCUUAAAAACCCAUGUUUGCCAGGAAUUACUGAGGCUGAGGUUAAAAGGGCAGCUCAAAACUGGCUCAGGCUGAGCCUAGACCGA